ACUGGGGAGCCGCUCCCCACCACUCGCGGACUUCGGAAUUGGCUGGCGGCCUGACGGGCGCCGCGGCCGCAGCGCGUUUCCGCAGUUUGUCGAGCCCCGAGGAUGCGCGCCCUGCCAGCCCUGGACGCGCCCCCGAGCGAGCGCCUCCUGUCCCGGGACUCCGGGGCCCCCCGGGCCCAGGACCCGGCGGGGCCGACGCGCAGGAGCGCGGUGGAAAGGCUGGCAGCCGACCGCUCCAAGUACGUGCGGGGCCCGCCGGGAGCCGGCCCAGGCCCGGCUUGCGAGGGCAGCGGCCCCGGGGCGAGCGAAGGGCAGGCGGGCGACCCUCGGCCCCCGGCGCGCGUCCCCGGUGCGGUGGCGCGCAGGGCCAUAGCGCGGAAGCCGCUGAGGCCGGACUCGCUGGUUAUCUACCGACAGAAAUGCGAGUUCGUCCGAGGGUCGGGAGCCGACAGCCCCAGGGGAGGCCUGGUGAAGAAGCUCUUCCCGGGGCCGGGCAAGGACAAGACGCCGGGGUCCCCCGGCACGUCCCGGGUGGGAGGGGAGGGCGGGGCCGGCGCCCAGGAGGCCGCCCCGACCGAACCCGGCCCCGUCGUGGCUCCCGCGGUGCCGGGGCCCUCCGCGCCCCCGGCUUCCGCCCCGCCGGUCAGGGCGCCCUCCAGAGUUACGGCUGCGCCCCGGGGUCCGGAGCUGCUCGGGGCGAGGCACCGGGGGCUGCAGCGUUCGCAGUCCGACCUCAGCUCGCGCUACUCCGCGUCCUUGGCCGAAUUUGACACCUUCUUCCAGUACUGCGGCCUGGAGCCCGAGGUGGUGGAGGCGAUCGGGCGGGAGAACUUCUCCGCCGGGUCGGACGUCGUCGCCCUCAAGGUCCGCAGCGUGAGCGUCGCCACCUCCGACAGCGGCUUCUCCCGGCACAGCGGCGGCGACGAGGGGCUGCAGGAAGAAGAGCUCACGGAGCAGGUGCCCAGCACCACCUCGGUGGUCGAGAGGAACGCCCGCAUCAUCAAGUGGCUGUACACCUGUAAGAAGGCCAAGGAGACCCCCGGCCAGGGGCUGCAGGGCCCGGCGUGACCGCUGCGCCCCGGGAGACCCGGACCGAGGUGGGGGUCGGAUGUCACCUGUAUCCUGAGCUGUUUCAUAUUACUGCUCAGAGAAGGGAGAUGGAAUUGACACGGAACCUGCCCAAUUUUCUGUAUGUCAUUGGCAAUCACCAGCACUGUAAAGAUUUUCUCUACAAAUUCACUCUCCUAGACCCAAAACAGCUCAGGUUAUUUGAACUUCCACCCAGGACACCUAAGGGCUGGCUGCUCGGAGAACUGUGAGGAAGAAAUGCAUGUCCUUUCUCCAGCUCCACUGGGACUGGGACGAUGUCUGCCCAUGAUCACGGCCCCUCAACUUGCCAUUCGCAGACACGAAGCCCUCUCUGAAGAAGAGCCAGGAGAGCGCUUAGACCCUUCGCCUUCAUUGGUGAGGGUCUUCUGGCAGCUUGAACAAAAUGCAGCUGACCUUUUCCCACAGGAUUACUUGGCCGAGAUUAAUUCCAUAACUUCUGGAAGCUGUGGAAGCAAGACUACAAGAAAAAGGCCUGCGGGGAGAUGCAUGCAGAGAAACCAGAUGAUAGCUGCUUUUGCCACUGAUUUCUUUUCAAAAUUUAAAAUGUGCAAAGGAGAUGCUUAAAAUGCAGAAAAUAUCACAAAACCAAAAACUGCAGGGACCAGACUUUGUAGUUCAAUGCUUGGCUUUAUAACUUUUGCCUAGAAUGGUGUUGAUUGACAGCUUUUUCCUUAUCCUCAGGAAGCAAGCCUUCCCGACAGUGGGGACUCCUUGAAGUACGUCUGGUUGAUUGGGACCCCAGGGCCAUCCUCACUGCCAGGUUUUGUCCAGUGUACCCAGGUGUCCAUAUGAUUGCUGUUUUCCCAGGAAUAAAGCACGCCAUUGAAGAAGCCUAAGCAAUUUCAGAAGGUUGGAAGUGCUAUGGAGAAGAUGGGGACAUAGAACUUGGAAAUUAGCUGAGUUAUAACUGUUAUGACACAGCUGUAGCUCUGGAAGAUAUUUUCUUGUGUUAGGUGGACCUAUCCUUGCUUCCAGAGAGCAGCAGAAGAGGGAAAAACUGCUUGGAGAUAUUUUCAAGGGCAUCUUUUUGAGUGGCUUGCUGACAAAGAGGUACAAUUAUACAUUUUGAUGAUAUCUAAAUUAAUUUUAAAAAGAAAAAAGGCAAAGAGCAUGAAAAGCAAACACGAAUGCCACGGUAUUUACUUCUUCAAUCAUAUUGGAUGGAUUGGCACCAUUUAAAUCAAAGUUCUGUGAUCAUAAGAAGUUAUAUUCUACACAAAUACUAUGGCUAACAAAGAGCAAACGCAUGCUCACACUUGCAUACUCACACGUAGACCUCAAUUUCUAAGCACCACUGCACCGUAAACUACAGUGAAUUCCCAAACUGUGCAACUGAUCAUCUUAUGAAAUGAAUCAGAAAGCACUUUUAAAACCACUUGAGAGCUGCAAGGUCAUUCUGUGAACAUCACUCCUGUUGGGUUGUAGACAUGCAGAGGUACCAGUAAAAGAUAAAGAGCUGAAAUACUGCUCGGAAACCUUUUCUUGUACCUGGACAGUUCCUUGAGAGUUGGCAGAAGAAUAUUGGAGCUUCCUUCCUUCAGAUCAACAGCAGUGGUCCUCUUCUGCAGCACCGUUCAGAAUAUGGGCCUCCAUGGUUCUCUUGUUCCCAGCUUCCAAAAGGAUAAAAAGCCUCGGUUUAGACAGAACAUGGACUCAUGACAAGUGAUGUGCCCUGCUCUCUGGUCUAAUUCACACACCCACCUAUCAGGCAAUCAUUCCAAACUUGGCAACACUUCACCCUUCUCUGAAAAGGGUGUGUUUGAGACAAGGGUUAGCCUCUGGGUGUCCAUAAGGAGUUACUGUGACCCUAAAUCUGAACCAGCUCAUGGCACUCAGAGUAAAUAGAUUUCAGAUUCAGAAACUUCUGGGAGGAAUUUUGUAUCGAUGAUGACGACCCAAAGAAAACUUGUCACCUGGUCAAAGCUUACAAUGUUUUGUCAAAAUAUGUCCCUUCAAGAAUAAAAUUAUUAGAAGAAUCGAGAGGGAAGAGAAAUAGCUUUCUCAGUGGUAAAAUAUUUUAUAAACCAAUUUUGAUAUAUUCAUGUAUUUGUUUAAUAUUGUAUUCUAUUUUUGUAACUGUUUUACUGUGAGAAUAUGUCCUUGAAUUACUUAAAUAUUUAUUUUUACAUAGUUAUUGGUCUUCAAAUAGUUUUCCUACACCGUAUGGUUUUAGUUUUUAUCAGGAUAAUUUUAAAUCAUUCUCUCCUUGAUUAUCUUUUUGUAUGUUGUUUAAUUGAAUUUCCAAAUUUGACUGUAAGCAGAGUGUUCACUACUCUAUAAAGUGCUCUGUACUCUAGGGAUUUGUUUUCAAGUAAAACACAGAUGCGCAUUUGGGGAGGCUCUGUUGGCUGAUGGAUGUACCUCUGUCAAUGUAGUCUCUAGAAAGACAAAGAUUCCCUGCUCUAAGAAAUGUUUCCCUGUUGUUUUUUUAAAAAUGCUGCUGUUCUGCUGUUCACUGGAUUACACUUAGUUUAAAGAUAAUGUCAAAGAUGAGAGGAGUUUUCUUUAAAGGACCUUUUCAUAUAUGCAGUUCCCUUGUUUACAGGUUCCAUUAAUUUUAUAUGUGAAUGCUUUAAGUAAAAUUGUUAUGUGACUUUCUAUUGUCAGAAUAGGAUGAACCGAAACCUAGCUCAGAUUUAUCUGAGAUCAAAAUGGUGCGGACUCUACCAUCCGUGUAAUAGAUGAAAAAGAGAAAAACAAAUUGGUUACCAUUUAAAAGCACCAAGAUCUUUGAGAAGCAUUUGCACUUCAGUGGAGGCGACUCCUGGAAGGAGCUGUCAGGAACAGGGUAUCCCCAGACCCCAGCAGGAUGGGUUAACGCUCCCUCUUGUCCGUUCAGAUUCAUGCCUAAGCUCCGGGCCUGAGUGUGUGGUUGGAGGCCAGAGGUCCUUUCCUCACUGAAUUACCCCAAUUUGCUGAGUGACUUUGAGAAAAUCAAACUGUGUAGCUCAAUCUGAAUGAAAAAGCUUGUAAUUGCUUUUCACUAUUGCGGCAAAAUAGUUUCUUUUGUUCACAAAAGAAUAGCUUCUCAGAUAAUAAGAUUAAGCACGAUGGAGAGAAAAAAUUAUUGCUACAGCAUGGAAAAUAUCUUGGUAGUAUCUAUUUCAUUAAUACAUGGGUACAGAUCAGCAAUGCCUCAGAGUGAAAGGUAUUUAUGUAACUGGAAAGCUUCCUCACUAUAUACUGAUGCAUACAGUUUCUAAACUGCUGGUCACUGACACUGGAAUACAAAGAAGGAUUUAUCAAACGUUGCCCUUUUCAGUGGGUUAAAGGUGCAGUGCUGUAGUUGGUGAUUCCGUAAGAUAUCAGGCCCAGACAAUUGUUACGGCUGUCUCUGAAUAGAGUUCAUGUUUUCUGCACGCUUCUUGCGACAUGAGUGUAAUAUUGUAUAUUCUGUAUCAAAGAAAUAAAGUAUUUUUUAUCAUU